ACUUCCGUAGCACAGUGGUAGUGCAUCGUACUUAUGGGCAAACUGUCAUGCGAGGGUCACCAGUUCGAACCUGGUCGGAAGUA
rfam:Calocera viscosa TTFC12733 unplaced genomic scaffold CALVIscaffold_2, whole genome shotgun sequence.